AAUUGGCUGCAGAAAUGUGCCAGGGCUUAACCGUUCAUGCUAUGAGAUGGGACAAGAAACACUAAUGAAUACCAGCUGCUCAUGGCUAUCUGACUCCAUCGCUGGGGCACUAGGAAAUUUCCCUGAAGCUGCUGAGAUACCUUUGUCUCGAGAAACCUCCCUUCUCUCCCUGUCACAGUGUCUGCUACCUACUAUCCUUCUCUGGUACAAGGAAAGUGACAUCUGAAGAAGUCAAUGGACUUCAGAACUAGCUAAGUCAACCAGAGUUCACCUGGAUCCCCUCUGCCUCUUCUGUGAUGCUACUUGGGAUCUGUUCUGUUUGGACCUAGCUGCUUGUGAUGCCAUUUGGUCUCAAGAUAUAACCUUGAAGCAAACUGCAGAAAUUUUUUCCCCUCCUCAGUCUUAAUAUAUAGCUUUGAAACAUACCAAGAGUCUUUGUUCCCCCGCCAUUUCCCACCGUACACUCCCUUACGUCACAUACAUUUAUCUGACUGUAGGCUUGUAUCUAAAUAUGUGCUUACUUAGAAGUUCUAGGGACUAAUUUUGAGACAGAUUACAGGCAUGGAAACCCAGCUGCAAAAUUCCAGAGAUUACCUCAAAGCAGUUAGUCAACAACCCGGCCAUUGUGGGGAUGAUGCCAGCCCAUGCUCCAGGUGGACCAUGACUCAAGAUAGCCACCAGAACGAGACGCACGGACCUGUACCCAGCACCACUCCUUGCAUGCCACCCACUGCAAGUUCCCUUUGUAAGCCCCUCUCCCCAGGCUAAAGUUUGAAAUGGUUCCUUUAAGGCACAAGCCAUGGCCACUUCUCCAGUGCUAGCUCUGGAAUAAAGCUUCUUUCUUUUCACUGCAUC
rnacentral:lncRNA from 10 species